rnacentral:rRNA from 1 species
UAACCUGCCCAAGAGAUCGGGAUAACACCUGGAAACAGAUGCUAAUACCGGAUAACAACAGAUGAUGCCUAUCAACUGUUUAAAAGAUGGUUCUGCUAUCACUCUUGGAUGGACCUGCGGUGCAUUAGCUAGUUGGUAGGGUAACGGCCUACCAAGGCGAUGAUGCAUAGCCGAGUUGAGAGACUGAUAGGCCACAUUGGGACUGAGACACGGCCCAAACUCCUACGGGAGGCAGCAGUC